UACGUAGGUCGGCAAGCGUUGUCCGGAUUUACUGGGCGUAAGGGGCGUGCAGGCGGUCUGUUAAGUGCAGGGUGAAAGCUCCCGGCUCAACUGGGAGAGGUCCUUGCAUACUGGCGGAGCUUGAGGGGGGUAGAGGAAAGUGGAAUUCCCGGUGUAGUGGUGAUAUGCGUAGAUAUCAAGAGGAACACCUGAGGUGAAGACGGGUUGCUGGGCUGACACUGACGCUGAGGCGCGAAAGCUAGGGUAGCAAACGGG
rnacentral:rRNA from 1 species